UACGGAGGGGCUAGCGUUGUUCGGAAUUACUGGGCGUAAAGCGCACGUAGGCGGCUUUGUAAGUUAGAGGUGAAAGCCCGGGGCUCAACUCCGGAAUUGCCUUUAAGACUGCAUCGCUAGAAUUGUGGAGAGGUAAGUGGAAUUCCGAAGUGUAGAGGUGAAAUUCGUAGAUAUGGGGAGGAACACCGGGUGGCGAAGGCGGCCAAUCUGGACGG
rnacentral:rRNA from 1 species